rnacentral:lncRNA from 10 species
GCAAAAUGAAUGCCUUAAUAUUCCUCUCUGCACUCAAGAGUCCCUACCUGUGAUGACUCCGGUCCUACUGUGUACCUUGCUUUGGCCAGUGGGAUAAGAGAAAAUGUGAUGCAAGCAGAGGAGGGAAAGGGCCUUGUGUUAGUCAGGGUUCUCCAGAGAAAAAGAAUCUAUACCUUCUAUUCAUCUCUGAGACAGGCAGAGGGAGAGAGAAAGAGAUACUGAUUUAUUAAAGGAAGAGCUUCAUGUGAUUAUAGAGGCUGAGAAGUCCCAUGAUCUGCUGUCUUUCAAGCUGGAGACCCAGGACAGCCAGUGGUAUUGCUCCAAUCCUAGUACAAGGGUGUGAGAACCAAAAGAGCAAAUGGUAUACGUUCCUGUCCAGAUGCAGGAGAAGACCAAAGUCCCAGCCAAAAACAGAAGGCAGAAAUGGUUUCCGUUCAGCAAAUCCACACCAGCAAUCCUCUUACAGCAAAUUUCCAAGAAACAUGGUUGGAUAACAGUGCUGGACCUAAAAAAGGUGUUGGCCCACGAGUGCCUCUCUCUCCCUGCCUGAGCUCCCUGACCAGCAUGCGUGUGGCCUCCAGGUGUGUUGUCUACCCCCCAGGACCUAAUUCUCAGAGUUUCUCAAAUAUGAUGGGUAAACCGCCUGCAGAAAAAUCACCCGGGGCCUUGUUAAAACUGGAGAUCCCUGAGCCCAGCCCUGCAAGAUGGAGAGGAGAUUUAGAAUUCGGGAACAUGUUGUUUUAAUUCAGAACUCAGGGAAUGGUUAUAAAUAUUAAAGUUUGAGAACCACUGACGAUCAGGAUCUGUUGUGUACAUUAACACAAGUGGAAUUACUGUAAUAGGGAAAAACACUUCUACUUAAUAUACCCAAAAAUGAUAUACUUUAAAAAUCUCAAACCUGACUUCUUAAGCUGCUUUAAAGAAUGGUUUCUCUGUACAUUCCAAAUGGACUUUCACAUAUUUGCCCUCAGUGAUUUCUCAUGUAGCUUUGAAUCCUGGAGAACUACCCAAUAAUUAGUCUUAGAAACCAGUGAAGGUGGCCGGGCUUAGUGGCUCACACCUGUAAUCCCAGC